rnacentral:rRNA from 1 species
GUGUCAGCAGCCGCGGUAAGACGAACCGUGCAAACGUUGUUCGGAAUCACUGGGCUUAAAGGGCGCGUAGGCGGGCAAGCAAGUCGAAGGUGAAAUCCCACGGCUCAACCGUGGAAGUGCCCCCGAUACUGCUUGUCUUGAGGGAGAUAGGGGCGUGCGGAACUUCCGGUGGAGCGGUGAAAUGCGUAGAUAUCGGAAGGAACACCGGUGGCGAAAGCGGCGCGCUGGAUCUCUUCUGACGCUGAGGCGCGAAAGCCAGGGGAGCAAACGGGAUUAGAAACCCCAGUAGUCC